CCUCACUUUGAUGGAACUCAGUUUUUCUCAACCACAAAAUGGGUAUCAUAGCACCCUGUUCCUUUGGGUGUGAAUCUGGAAGAGUGGGGGCACAGUUAGUGGCCCACAGGAAGGCCUUGGCAAGUGUUCCCUGUAGUAGCAGCAACAAUAAUAAUAAUAAUAACCACAAUUGUCCCCAGGGACUGAGCCCUCUGAGUGCUGAUGGUGAUAUAUAUUGAUCUAAUUUUAUCUGCCAGCAGCUACACAAGGCUGGUAGAUGCUACACUGACCCCAUUUCACAGGUGAGAAAACUCAGGCUCAGAUGAGCCAGAUCCAAUCACUGCAGAGUCUGUUUUUCUCAACCUCUUGCUCUCCCAUAGUUGACCCUGUGAUUGUUGUCAGUGCUGUUAUUCCUUGUAUUACCAACAGUGACAACAUCCUCAGUGAUUGGGGCAGUAUGUGUUAAAUGCCAGGUGCAGAACAGGAGGGAGGACGCUGUGAAGUGAGGGGCCAGAGAUGGUUUCCUGGAAGGAGGGAACUUGAAGGAUGUUGCUGCCACCUUGGGGUUGGGUGGGAGGCCUCAGCACUGCUGCCCCCGACUCUGAUAGCCGGAGUAGCAGCAUCACAAGGAAACGUGAAUGUGAAAAGCCAACUAAGGACAGGGCAGAAUUCACCCUGGCUGGAGGGAGGAAGCGCUUGCAUCAGGAAGUCUUUGGCUUGAGGAGGACCUGAAACAAAGGCUGGGCCCAGGACGGGUUUCCAGGGGAAAGUUUCUGAUUAGUGUGGGAGCAGGAUGGCCACGGUAGGCGAGGCCAGGGUCCAGGGAGAGAAGAGGGUAGGCAUGCCCUGUGGCUGGGAUGGUCAAAUGUUUGCUGCUUCCAAUCCAGGCUGGGCUUCCCAUGCUGUCUUCCCUACCUCCAGGUCCCGCUGGUUGGGGCUUGGGGUGUGGAGGGAAGGGGCAUUCCUUUGUUAGGGAAACAGAAGCAUAGGAGAGCCAGGGUGAUGCCAUUUUAAAAUCAACUCUAUCUUAAAGUUAGCAAGGCACAUUCCUUCCCAAUCACAACCCAUGAUCAUAAGAUAUUCA
rnacentral:lncRNA from 10 species